rnacentral:rRNA from 1 species
UACGUAGGGGGGCGAGCGUUGUCCGGAUUUAUUGGGCGUAAAGAGCGUGUAGGCGGCCAGGUAGGUCUGCUGUGAAAACUCGAGGCUCAACCUCGAGACGUCGGCGGAAACCAUCUGGCUAGAGUCCGGAAGAGGAGAGUGGGAAUUCCUGGUGUAGCGGUGAAAUGCGCAGAUAUCAGGGAGGAACACCCGUGGCGAAAGCGGCUCUCUGGGACGGUAC